rnacentral:rRNA from 1 species
AGAGUUUGAUCCUGGCUCAGAUUGAACGCUGGCGGCAUGCUUUACACAUGCAAGUCGAACGGCAGCACGGGAGCUUGCUCCUGGUGGCGAGUGGCGAACGGGUGAGUAAUGCAUCGGAACGUAUCCAAUAAUGGGGGAUAACGCACCGAAAGGUGUGCUAAUACCGCAUACGCCCUGAGGGGGAAAGUGGGGGAUCCGCAAGGACCUCACGUUGAUGGAGCGGCUGAUGUCGGAUUAGCUAGUUGGUGAGGUAAAGGCUCACCAAGGCGACGAUCUGUAGCGGGUCUGAGAGGAUGAUCCGCCACACUGGAACUGAGACACGGUCCAGACUCCUACGGGAGGCAGCAGUGGGGAAUUUUGGACAAUGGGCGCAAGCCUGAUCCAGCCAUGCCGCGUGAGUGAAGAAGGCCUUCGGGUUGUAAAGCUCUUUCAGCCGGGAAGAAAACGCAUGGGUUAAUACCCUGUGUGGACGACGGUACCGGAAUAAGAAGCACCGGCUAACUACGUGCCAGCAGCCGCGGUAAUACGUAGGGUGCGAGCGUUAAUCGGAAUUACUGGGCGUAAAGCGUGCGCAGGCGGUUUGUUAAGAUAGGCGUGAAAUCCCCGGGCUCAACCUGGGAACUGCGUUUAUGACUGGCAGGCUAGAGUAUGGCAGAGGGGGGUGGAAUUCCACGUGUAGCAGUGAAAUGCGUAGAGAUGUGGAGGAACACCGAUGGCGAAGGCAGCCCCCUGGGCCAAUACUGACGCUCAUGCACGAAAGCGUGGGUAGCAAACAGGAUUAGAUACCCUGGUAGUCC